rnacentral:siRNA from 1 species
UCUCUACGUUAAGCCGUGGCG